GAUGAACGCUGGCGGCGUGCCUAAUACAUGCAAGUCGAGCGAACGGACGAGAAGCUUGCUUCUCUGAUGUUAGCGGCGGACGGGUGAGUAACACGUGGAUAACCUACCUAUAAGACUGGGAUAACUUCGGGAAACCGGAGCUAAUACCGGAUGAUAUUUUGAACCGCAUGGUUCAAAAGUGAAAGACGGUCUUGCUGUCACUUAUAGAUGGAUCCGCGCUGCAUUAGCUAGUUGGUAAGGUAACGGCUUACCAAGGCAACGAUGCAUAGCCGACCUGAGAGGGUGAUCGGCCACACUGGAACUGAGACACGGUCCAGACUCCUACGGGAGGCAGCAGUAGGGAAUCUUCCGCAAUGGGCGAAAGCCUGACGGAGCAACGCCGCGUGAGUGAUGAAGGUCUUCGGAUCGUAAAACUCUGUUAUUAGGGAAGAACAUAUGUGUAAGUAACUGUGCACAUCUUGACGGUACCUAAUCAGAAAGCCACGGCUAACUACGUGCCAGCAGCCGCGGUAAUACGUAGGUGGCAAGCGUUAUCCGGAAUUAUUGGGCGUAAAGCGCGCGUAGGCGGUUUUUUAGUCUGAUGUGAAAGCCCACGGCUCAACCGUGGAGGGUCAUUGGAAACUGGAAAACUUGAGUGCAGAAGAGGAAGGUGGAAUUCCAUGUGUAGCGGUGAAAUGCGCAGAGAUAUGGAGGAACACCAGUGGCGAAGGCGACUUUCUGGUCUGUAACUGACGCUGAUGUGCGAAAGCGUGGGGAUCAAACAGGAUUAGAUACCCUGGUAGUCCACGCCGUAAACGAUGAGUGCUAAGUGUUAGGGGGUUUCCGCCCCUUAGUGCUGCAGCUAACGCAUUAAGCACUCCGCCUGGGGAGUACGACCGCAAGGUUGAAACUCAAAGGAAUUGACGGGGACCCGCACAAGCGGUGGAGCAUGUGGUUUAAUUCGAAGCAACGCGAAGAACCUUACCAAAUCUUGACAUCCUUUGACAACUCUAGAGAUAGAGCCUUCCCCUUCGGGGGACAAAGUGACAGGUGGUGCAUGGUUGUCGUCAGCUCGUGUCGUGAGAUGUUGGGUUAAGUCCCGCAACGAGCGCAACCCUUAAGCUUAGUUGCCAUCAUUAAGUUGGGCACUCUAAGUUGACUGCCGGUGACAAACCGGAGGAAGGUGGGGAUGACGUCAAAUCAUCAUGCCCCUUAUGAUUUGGGCUACACACGUGCUACAAUGGACAAUACAAAGGGCAGCGAAACCGCGAGGUCAAGCAAAUCCCAUAAAGUUGUUCUCAGUUCGGAUUGUAGUCUGCAACUCGACUACAUGAAGCUGGAAUCGCUAGUAAUCGUAGAUCAGCAUGCUACGGUGAAUACGUUCCCGGGUCU
rnacentral:rRNA from 1 species